UAAGGAAUAUUGGUCAAUGGAGGCAACCCUGAACCAGCCAUGCCGCGUGCAGGAUGAAGGUCCUCUGGAUUGUAAACUGCUUUUAUCAGGGAAGAAAUCACCUAUUUCUAUGGGUGUUGCCGGUACCUGAGGAAUAAGCACCGGCUAACUCCGUGCCAGCAGCCGCGGUAAUACGGAGGGUGCAAGCGUUAUCCGGAUUUACUGGGUUUAAAGGGUGCGUAGGCGGAUUUUUAAGUCAGUGGUGAAAACUUUGAGCUUAACUCGAAAACUGCCAUUGAUACUAUUAAUCUUGAAUUUAGUUGAGGUUGGCGGAAUGUGUCGUGUAGCGGUGAAAUGCUUAGAUAUGACACAGGACACCGAUUGCGAAGGCAGCUGGCUAAACUAAAAUUGACGCUGAGGCACGAAAGUGUGGGGAUCAAACAGGAUUAGAAACCCUGGUAGUCCACACCCUAAACGAUGAUUACUCGAUGUUGGCGAUACACUGCCAGCGUCUAAGCAAAAGCAUUAAGUAAUCCACCUGGGGAAUACGAUCGCAAGA
rnacentral:rRNA from 1 species